AACGCGAAGAACCUUACCAAGGUUUGACAUGGACGGAAAUCCAUCGGAGACGGUGGGUCCUUCGGGGCCGUUCACAGGUGGUGCAUGGCUGUCGUCAGCUCGUGUCGUGAGAUGUUGGGUUAAGUCCCGCAACGAGCGCAACCCUUGUCCCAUGUUGCCAGCGGGUUAUGCCGGGGACUCAUGGGAGACUGCCGGGGUCAACUCGGAGGAAGGUGGGGAUGACGUCAAGUCAUCAUGCCCCUUAUGUCUUGGGCUGCAAACAUGCUACAAUGGCCGGUACAGAGGGCUGCGAGCCUGUGAGGGUGAGCGAAUCCCGGAAAGCCGGUCUCAGUUCGGAUCGGGGUCUGCAACUCGACCCCGUGAAGUCGGAGUCGCUAGUAAUCGCGGAUCAGCAACGCCGCGGUGAAUACGUUCCCGGGCCUUGUACACACCGAUAGC
rnacentral:rRNA from 1 species